CCCUCGGCAUAAAUGGAGCAGGUCUGGCUUCAGCGCGAACAAAUGCAGCGGACAGAGGAAAUCUUAUAUCCUCUUCCUCCUUGGACUUCCCGUUGGCAGCUUCUCCUGGGAAUCUGCUGAUAGCAGAUCUUUGUGUUCCCAGUUAAUUGACAAGGCCAGGCAGGAGGAAGAGGGGGCUGUGACCGCACGAGGGAGGGGGGGACUGUGACAGCCUGGGAGCUCUAGGGGACAAAUGGGGCCGGAACCCAAAGGAGACACAGCGGUUCAUUGAAUUCCGAUGUGUGGACUCAACCUUUACAGAUGAGUUUACCUCAUUAGAUUUCCAGAACUCUAAUAAUCAUGUAACAGUGAUCCUGCUAGCUAGCACUGGCCCAGCAGGCAGGAGCCGUCGCUCUGUGAGUAGGAGCUCGCGGGCGGCUCUGUACUAUUUCUACCCUUGGCUUUUCAGAUUUUUGUGUUCAGCACACAGAAGCUCAUUUAAAGCAGAGUAACUCAGACAAGCAGGUGAGGGGCCCUGCUUGGAUUCCCGACCAUGGAGCGGGGCUGAGGCUUUUGAGCCUCAAGGGCUGGCAGGGACCCCGAGGGGAGCAUGGGGCACUUCUGCCCUCUCCCCAUGGCUUAUCUGGAGGGCUUUGCCCAGUGGAAAUUUCUCGGCGACUCUGGGCCUGCGCAGCCGGACCGUGUCGUGGCAGUGACGUGCCUCCCUCUGGGAACAGAACACCCUCCCUGGAGCUCGUGGCCUCAUGCGUAGAUGGUGGCGAGCGCCUGUUUGCCAAGCCUUCUGUCGCCUCCCUCUCUGAGUCCCAUUGAGAUCACGGAAACGGAAAGUAAACAACCGCAGAGUGAAAGGCCUCGCAGAGAAUUUACUUUAGAGUAUUGUUCCAGGAUCUGCGCAGAGAUAAAGACCAAGUGGAGUGAAUGAGUGGCUCUGCAGGCCAGGCACUGAGGAGCCCAGCGUGUCCCUGCCUGAGGCCUUCUGGAUGAAGACAGCUUGGCAGAGACUACUAGCAAGGGUAGCGUGGCUAUGACUCGCCCUCUGUGCAUCGAGUGCCGGUGGGCCCCUCAUUUCCCGAGAACCUGCUUUGCAGUGCCACCUGCUCUUCCACGGAAGAUGCUGUCCACACAGCGUGCUUCCCUGUCCUCUGCAAAGGGCUGUGAGCCGCCUAGCCGGGACCUGGCUCCCCAGGAAGCUGCUUGCCUUCAGACAGUAACAGCACAGGGACUUGCGUGUUUUACCGCCUUCUCUGAUCUAACUUCUCGGCUAAGUGUGGCGAGCGAGAUCUCCACUUCAUUAAAGGGAGCUUAGCAGCCUUGUCUCACUGCUGCGGACUGUUUGGGAGCUCAAGCAAAGAAAUAGCCUUCUGCACAGCCUUGGCUGUGACUGCGGUGGGCGGCAGCGGCCACAGCACUGACUUGGGGCUGUCUUCGCAGAAGCGCCUGGUGAAUGUGGUGUCUGCUGCGGAAGGGCAGCAGUUUCCAUCGUUUCUGCUCACGUUCUCUCGAGCCUUAAUGGGAGACACGCUGGUCGCCCACGUGCAGUUUCUGAGCCUUCACCUACCACAAGCCCUGCUCGCUGAUGCUCAUGUGUGCUGCCUCUGGGGUCAGACAGUCACAGAAACAGGGAGAAGGAUCGAGAGCACCAGGGGGAGACCACGUGCGAACAGCAAAGGUCAGAGGAGAGUGGGAGAGGCUUCUGACUCCCCCCCAGGGCCAGGAAGUCUCUGGAUUUGACAGCUGCUACCAUACACACCUUUCUUCUCUCAUCAUGAACCCCGGAGAGCCCGUGUUUGUCUCCUUCCUGUACGUUCUGUUCCACCUGGACGUGUUCCCUCUCUAGGGGUGCCAUUCCCUGUCUCCACGCAUCCUGUGCAGCUGCCAGCCAAUGCCGCAGAUCCAUAGCAGAAUCCAGCACCCAAGGGUGCUGGGCACCCACAGACGUGGCAUGUGGCCCAUGGGCUAGUCCUUGCCACCGCAGGGGCCAGGCCAACCUUGCCACUACCCAUAAGGACAGCGCAAUGUAGCAAGGCUGUCUUCAGCUCCAGCCCACGGUCCUCAAACUGAGCAUAGCUUUGGCUGGUGCGCAGCCUUGCGGAGGUGAUGCCAAGGCUCUGCCAGGCCCGCCAGCCGGCGGGGACCGUCCUGCCCCACGCGACGGGGUGCUCACGUGACUUAGAGAGCCCACUGCUCCAGCGUGGGAAGUGCCAGUGAGUGAGCCCGGACGUACGCAGACCCACAGUGGCCUCCUGCCUGAUUCAGGGCCACACGCUGGGCAUCGGUGCCCUGACCGCGAGCUGCACUGCUGGACACCCAGCUGGUCUCUGGCAGGUAGCAGCUCCCAGCAUGGGCAGCUCCUACUGGAGCCACCUGAAGAAUUUUACAAGGAUUGGUGCCGGGGUGCCAGUCAGCAUGAGGCAGCUUUCUCUGGAGAGCUCCUCAGGUGACUCUAAGGGUGCAGCUAGAUUUGCAGUCAGCUUCGGGACCUGAAAAUCGACACAGCACGCCGCGGUUUCCUGGCGCGCGCGUCAGCAGCAGCGGCGGCUCCCGCACGCCAGCUCUGCCCUGCUGGGCUGGAGGGGCUGAGGACCCUAGCAGCCUGACUUCUCCUAGAGGAGGUAGAGAGCAAGUGCCCUCGGCUCCGUGCUCCAGUGUGUGCGGCUGGGCGGCCUUCCAUGGGCCUCUCUCCCUCUGUCCUCUCUCCCUCUCUCUCUGUUUA